rnacentral:piRNA from 1 species
UCCCAUGUUGACCUGGGUAUGAUACUC